rnacentral:rRNA from 1 species
UACAGAGGUCCCAAGCGUUGUCCGGAAUCAUUGGGCGUAAAGCGCGUGUAGGCGGGUCGGUAAGUCCGCUCUGAAAGCCCGGGGCUCAACCCCGGGAGGCGGGUGGAUACUGUCGACCUCGAGUCCGGAAGAGGCGAGUGGAAUUCCUGGUGUAGCGGUGAAAUGCGCAGAUAUCAGGAGGAACACCAAUGGCGAAGGCAGCUCGCUGGGACGGUACUGACGCUGAGACGCGAAAGCGUGGGGAGCAAACAGG